rnacentral:rRNA from 1 species
AUUGAACGCUAGCGGGAUGCUUUACACAUGCAAGUCGAACGGAGUGGCGGACGGGUGAGUAAUAUAUCGGAACGUGCCCAGUAGCGGGGGGUAAAUACUCGCAAGAGUGGCUAAUACCGCAUGCUAUUGGAGCGGACGAUAGCGGAUUAGCUAGUUGGGGGGGUAAAGGCUCACCAAGGCAACACUCCGUAGCUGGUUUGAGAGGACGACCGUCCACACUGGGACUGCGACACGGCCCAUACUCCUACGGGAGGCAGCAUUGGGGAAGUUGUGACAAUGGGGGAAACCCUGAGCCAGCCAUCCCGCGGGUAUGAUGAAGGCCUUCGGGUUGUAAAGUACUUUUGGCAGAGAAGCGGUAUCUGCAGAAUAAGCACCGGCUAACUACGUGCCAGCAGCCGCGGUAAUAC